rnacentral:rRNA from 1 species
GAAAAGAACCCCGGAGAGGGGAGUGAAAUAGAUCCUGAAACCGUGUGCGUACAAGCAGUAGGAGCUCGCAAGAGUGACUGCGUACCUUUUGUAUAAUGGGUCAGCGACUUACUGUUCGUGGCAAGCUUAACCGUAUAGGGGAGGCGAAGGGAAACCGAGUCUGAUAAGGGCGCAUAGUCGCGGGCAGUAGACCCGAAACCGGGUGAUCUAGUCAUGGCCAGGGUGAAGGUGCCGUAACAGGUACUGGAGGCCCGAACCCACGUCUGUUGCAAAAGACGGGGAUGAGCUGUGAUUAGGAGUGAAAAGCUAAUCGAACCCGGAGAUAGCUGGUUCUCCUCGAAAGCUAUUUAGGUAGCGCCUCAUAUGUAUCCUCUCGGGGGUAGAGCACUGUUAUGGCUAGGGGGUCAUCGCGACUUACCAAACCAUUGCAAACUCCGAAUACCGAGACGGACUGUAUGGGAGACACACGGCGGGUGCUAACGUCCGUCGUGAAAAGGGAAACAACCCAGACCCACAGCUAAGGUCCCAAAUUCACUGCUAAGUGGAAAACGAUGUGGAAAGGCAUAGACAGCCAGGAGGUUGGCUUAGAAGCAGCCACCCUUUAAAGAAAGCGUAAUAGCUCACUGGUCGAGUCGGUCUGCGCGGAAGAUUUAACGGGGCUAAGCAGUGAACCGAAGCUUGGGGUGCAUAAAACUUGUUUUAUGCGCGGUAGAGGAGCGUUCCGUAAGCCUGCGAAGGUGGAUUGAGAAGUCUGCUGGAGGUAUCGGAAGUGCGAAUGCUGACAUGAGUAACGAUAAUGCGGGUGAAAAGCCCGCACGCCGAAAGCCCAAGGUUUCCUUGCGCAACGUUAAUCGACGCAGGGUUAGUCGGUCCCUAAGGCGAGGGCGAAAGCCGUAGUCGAUGGGAAGCAGGUUAAUAUUCCUGCACCUCGCGUGAGUGCGAUGGAGGGACGGAGAAGGUUAGGUGUACCGGGCGUUGGUUGUCCCGGGGAAAGGCGGUAGGUUUGGAUCUUUGGCAAAUCCGGGAUCCUUUAAGACCGAGCACCGAGACGAGCCUUUAUGGCGAAGUCACUGAUACCACGCUUCCAGGAAAAGCUCCUAAGCUUCAGCUCACGAAGACCGUACCGUAAACCGACACAGGUGGGUAGGAUGAGAAUUCUCAGGCGCUUGAGAGAACUCGGGUGAAGGAACUAGGCAACAUGGCACCGUAACUUCGGGAGAAGGUGCACCCUUUUUGGUGGCUCGUGCGAGCUAUAGCUGAAGAGGGUCGCAGAAACCAGGCCGCUGCGACUGUUUAUCAAAAACACAGCACUCUGCAAACACGAAAGUGGACGUAUAGGGUGUGACGCCUGCCCGGUGCUGGAAGGUUAAUUGAUGGGGUCAGCCGCAAGGCGAAGCUCUUGAUCGAAGCCCCAGUAAACGGCGGCCGUAACUAUAACGGUCCUAAGGUAGCGAAAUUCCUUGUCGGGUAAGUUCCGACCUGCACGAAUGGCGUAACGACAGCGGCGCUGUCUCCACCCGAGACUCAGUGAAAUUGAAAUCGCUGUGAAGAUGCAGCGUUCCCGUGGCAAGACGGAAAGACCCCGUGAACCUUUACUAUAGCUUUACACUGAACGUUGAGUUCGUCUGUGUAGGAUAGGUGGGAGGCUAUGAAACUGUGGCGCUAGCUGCAGUGGAGCCAUCCUUGAAAUACCACCCUGUCGUGCUUGACGUUCUAACCUAGGUCCGUUAUCCGGAUCAGGGACCGUGUAUGGUGGGUAGUUUGACUGGGGCGGUCUCCUCCUAAAGAGUAACGGAGGAGCACGAAGGUACGCUCAGCGCGGUCGGACAUCGCGCACUGUGUGCAAAGGCAUAAGCGUGCUUGACUGCAAGAUCGACGGAUCAAGCAGGUACGAAAGUAGGUCUUAGUGAUCCGGUGGUUCUGUAUGGAAGGGCCAUCGCUCAACGGAUAAAAGGUACUCCGGGGAUAACAGGCUGAUACCGCCCAAGAGUUCAUAUCGACGGCGGUGUUUGGCACCUCGAUGUCGGCUCAUCACAUCCUGGGGCUGUAGUCGGUCCCAAGGGUAUGGCUGUUCGCCAUUUAAAGUGGUACGCGAGCUGGGUUCAGAACGUCGUGAGACAGUUCGGUCCCUAUCUGCCAUGGGCGUUGGAAGUUUGAGAGGGGCUGCUCCUAGUACGAGAGGACCGGAGUGGACGAACCUCUGGUGUUCCGGUUGUCACGCCAGUGGCAUUGCCGGGUAGCUAUGUUCGGAAGCGAUAACCGCUGAAAGCAUCUAAGCGGGAAGCGCGCCUCAAGAUGAGACUUCCCGGGGCACAAGCCCCCUAAAGGAACCAUGUAGACUACGUGGUUGAUAGGUCAGGUGUGUAAGUACAGCAAUGUAUUGAGCUAACUGAUACUAAUGAUCCGUGCGGCUUGACCAUAUAACCUCA